AUGGCGGCCGCCGCCGGCGGAACCAGCAGCGAGGGCGCGGCGCGCGUGCUGCUGCAGCGUUACCAGCCGUUCGGGUCGCCGCCUGGCGAGUACCACCAUUUCGGCCCGGCCGACGGCGGCGGCAGCGCCGACAUGACGGAGGCCGUCGUCCUCAGGACGCCAUUAAAGCGGAAACACAACAGAGAAGACAAUGAGGUAGCUGAAUCAAAUGAUUGGAUGAUGAGCCCUGGAUAUGCUAACGCAGCAAACAGUCCAAUUCCUACACCACCUUCGGGAAAAGGUUCUAAAAUGUCCGCCAAGCCUAAAGCUGCAAAAGGCCAGAAAUCUUGUCCUCAGACCCCUUUGUUUUCCGGUUCUCCGGGCAAUCCAGCUACUCCUGUUGGUGGCUGCCGUUAUGAUAGCUCCCUAGGGUUAUUGACAAAAAAGUUCCUGAACUUGCUAAAGGGUGCACCUGGUGGCAUGGUUGAUUUGAAUAAUGCUGCAGAAACGCUAGAGGUACAAAAAAGACGUAUAUAUGACAUUACUAAUGUCCUCGAAGGGAUAGGGCUGAUAGAAAAGAAGCUUAAGAACAACAUUCGUUGGAAAGGAAUCGAUGACUCUCGACCAGGUGAAGUUAGCGAUGAUAUGUCCAUUUUACAGGGAGAUAUUGAAGCCCUCACACUGCAAGAGCAUAGCUUAGACGGACAAAUAAGUGAAAUGCGAGACAAGUUAAGAGAGCUCACUGAAGAUGAAAAUAACCAAAAAUGGCUGUAUGUCACAGAAGAUGAUAUCAAGUCUUUGCCAUGCUUUCAGAAUCAGACACUAAUCGCAAUAAAAGCACCUCAUGGUACAACGCUUGAAGUCCCAGAUCCUGAUGAGGUGAAUGAUUAUCCUCAAAGGAGAUAUAGGAUUGUUCUAAGAAGCACUAUGGGUCCGAUAGAUGUGUACCUAGUUAGUCAAUUUGAGGAGAUGAGUGGCAUGGAGACUCCUCCAAGGCCUGCACAAACAAUAAGCAUGGAUUAUCUAGAGAAUCCUAGGACACCACUCGCUACAGGAUCUAACAAAGAUGUGGAGAUGGAGAAUGUUCAACAAGGGCUGAUAAUGCCCCCUGACGCUCCUACUACACAUGAUAUUGGAGGGAUGAUGAAGAUUGUCCCUUCUGAACUUGAUACUGAUGCGGAUUACUGGCUCUUAUCAGACACAGGGGUUAGCAUUACUGACAUGUGGAAGACAGCACCAGAUGUGGAGUGGGAAGGAAUCGACAUCAACGCCGAGGAUUUCCUGGAAGUUGGCACACCUCGGCAGCAAGAGCAGCCGCCCUCUGAAAUGGUGGAUCACCCCUCGUGCAUUAGCUGA
rnacentral:rRNA from 1 species